rnacentral:lncRNA from 1 species
UGUUACAUUACCUUAGACUAAACUCCAGCCCUGCCCACAGCCCCCGGCUGCCCACGCACUGUCCGGGAAACCAGCAGCAAAUAGGCGGAAGAACCAUCCACUGCCUGCUCCCCAGGGCUGCAGCAAGCAAGGUGGAGCCAGAGACCACCACCAGGCAAGUGAGACCCAGCCCCACUUCCACGUGGGCAAAGCUGCCGCCACCCCGGCCAGUCCAGGACGGCCGCAGAGGCCCCACCUCGUCCUGCAAAGGAGGGAGCCUGCCGCGCUCCCGGCUCUGCCAGACGCUCCUGCCCGAGGGCCUGCGUCCUGCAGUUCCCCAGUGCGGGCUCCCGGUCCCUCCCACCAGGUGCCCGGUCGGUCGGUCGUAGGGGACAAAUUUCUAACCAGCAGGACACAAUUGGAGAAACCGGUUAUUUUACCAAAGCUUUGGAAUGGUGUACUUUCCCUUAAGGAAUCAAAUAUGACUUAUGGAAACAAUAAAAGUCCCUUGGGAAAACUGGCCUCAUACCUUGUCUACACAGUUUCUGUACAGGAUUCCUGACCUGUGAGAAGGAAACUAAGCCUCAAGGUGGUUAUGGUACAUUGCCACUAAUAAGAGGCAGACCUGGGGCUCAACCUGCAGUUGUCUGACUCUAUAGAUGGCAAAAACUUACUGAAGAUGCUCUUUUGGGAGAUGGAUCAAGCACUGUGUUUUAUGAAGUUGAACAGAGAGAAGUUGGGAACGUGAUUCUCCAGGCACCAACAUCUUCCUCAAAAGUAUUGUUUACCUUAUUGUCCCUACUUGGUCCUUGAAGAAACAGAGUGUGUGACCCUUGCUUCCAAUCUUGUCCUCUUUCUAGCAUACCACGGUAUCACCUCUUUGAUAUUAUUUUAAUUCCUGUACCUACUUGAAGGAGCAUGCUGUUGAAAUGACUUUUAUAAUCUCAGCAAGAGCCCUACAGUUCAUAAACAUAAGGGCACAAGCUUCCUCCCACUUUAUGUGAUAGCUCAGUCUAGCAGAUGGGUUUUCCUGAAUUAUUCAUUUGUGACUAAUUUGUUUAGUAGCAUCUAUGUACUCAUAUCCCAUCUCUCUUAUGAGUGAACCUAAGUGCUUUGGCAAACUAUUUUAUUCUAUAAUCAAAGAAUGAAAGAUGGAGUCAACUUUUGAUGGUUGGCUUAUAUUUAAGCAGUUGCCCCAAACUUGCUAAUUCUUGGUUUCUCUUUCCCUACUCCAUAGACAUACACCAACCAUGAGUUGUGUAUCCAAAUCUCAUCUUGAGUUGUAGCUCCGAUAAUUCCCAUGUGUCAUGGGAGGGACCUAGCAGGAGGUAAUUGAAUCAUGGGGGCGGGUCUUUCCUGUGCUAUUCUCGUGAUAGUGAAUAAGUCUUAUGAGAACCUGAUGGUUUUAUGAAGGGGAGUUCCCCUGCAUGCACCCUCUUGCCUGCCAUCAUAUAAGACAUCCCUUUGGUUCUCCUUUGCCUUCCACCAUGAUUUUGAGGCCUCCCUGGUCAUGUGGAGCUGUGAAUCAAUUAAACCUCUUU